ACGGUCUAAAAACUAUUAUUUUCAUACUUAAAUUUGAUAUCAAAACACACCCUUUAUGGCUUAGAAUGAGCUUAAAAUCAAGUAAAACACUUAGUUGAGUCAUGAGAGAGUGAAAAGCUGGUCAGACUUCAAGCAGAAACACAGGCAGCGAAAGUGAUGUCCAUGGCAGUGGAUGGAUAUGCGAUCUAUGGAGAUAUGGAAACAGAAGCUAUGCUUAGGAGGUGGUGAUGGGUGUCGCGGCCCAUACAAAUUUGAUUGCAAUUAGGAAUGCAGUAUAGACUAGGAAGUGACUCCUAGGUCGUCUCUCAAGGACCAACUACGAUUCGAGACUUAGGUCAGACACGAAGUGGGGGGGGUUUAAAGUGUUCUUGGAAGGAUAACUAAAUUAAAUUAAAACUAGAAAUUAAUUACAACCAAACAUAAUUGAAAAUAUUAAAAUAACUUAACAAAGCAUGAAGACCGAACGGUCCUACAGAUGACCGAACGGUUCUACAUUGGGACUGAACGAUCUCUAAAGCAAGUGAGGAAAUUGGAAAUGCAAGAAAAUAAAGAAAUCUGACAGAAUAAACAUCAUAGUGAACUGAAACCAUAAACCCAACAUAAUAGACAUCAUUAAAGUAAAUGAAAACAUUAAAUCGAACAUAACAGACAACAUGGUGAAUGUAAAAAGUAAACUGAACAAUGCAAUAAAUAAAUAUCCAGACACAAUUUAAGCUAUUAAAAUGCAACACUUAAACUAAAGAAAUAAAAUGCUAAUCAUAAUGGAACCAACACUUAAAAAAAUAAAAAGAAAAAGAAACAACACUUAAAAAAAAUAAAAAGAUAAAGAAAGAAAAUAAAACGUGGUUCUAAAAAAAAUGUGGUUCUAAAAGAAAAAGUAAAUAAAAAGAAAAAGAAAGAAAAUAAAACGUGGUUCUAAAAAAAGUAAAUGCACGCAAGAAAUAAAUAAAAGGAAAAGUUAGUCUUGCUUUCUCUCAUCCCAUUGUAGCAGCGUAACAAGCAAUAAAAAAAAUAAAUAAAUUGUUCUUCUUUCAUUCAAUUAAAUGCAACUGUCAACAACAUUCAAACCAUCCAAAACGUUCAAAAGCAAAAAUCAAGGGAAGAGUAGUAGCUAGACUCCACACACCGUUCCAGCCCUUAAACCGUGAGCCUCAUUCAACUUCCUCCAAAAUAAAAGAAUCGUUCCAGCAAAGAAAGAAGAGAAAUGUGCUUUUUAAAAGUUCAAAUCCCAAUGUGCCACGGUUGUUUUCUUUAAAAUAAAGAAGAGAAAUGUGCUUAUGAAUAAACUUGAAGUACUGGAAUAAAGAGAAUAGAAUUGCCUCUAGCCGUAACCCUCCAUUGAAUGACCAAAAAUUGCCUCUUCUCAGACCAGCCGAAUUGCAUCUGCCGAGAAUGCUUCCCCUUUUCGUUGCAGCCCUUCCAGCCAAAUUCUCUCUAAAACAAAAGUGACGGCCCCUUUUUUUUUCCAAUCCCUACGGCCAUGUAUCCUAUGUAAGGGUGGGGUCCACCCUAAAAUAAAAG
rnacentral:lncRNA from 1 species